GACCAUGUAGCUUAAUUGGGGAAAGCGCCACCCUGUCAAGGUGGAAGAUGCCGGAUCGUUCCCGGUCGUGGUCG
rnacentral:tRNA from 1 species